GCGUGGCUCAGUGAUAAAGAAUCUGCCUAUAAUGCAGGAGACACGGGUUCAGUCCUUAGGUGAGGAAGAUCCUCUGGAGACAGAAAUGGCAAACUGCUCCUGUAUUCUUGCCAGGGAAAUCCCAUGGACAGUGGAGCCUGGCAGGCUAGAGUUCAUGGAUUCUCAAAGAGUUGGACAUGACUCAGUGACUGAGCACGCACACGGUGUGGUGUCACUUUGGGUUGACUUAGCUUUUAGGAGGAAUCUGUAUAGAUUCCUGAAGGGCUUUCUCUGCAUGCCUCCCUCACUGUGCUCUGUCUUGCAAAACCCCUGAUGCUCAGCAGCUUGAGCUCCGGUCUCUGUCUGUUGGGGCCUUCCAGACUGCUGUGCUUCACUUAGAUUCUCCCUUCUUUCUGCAGGGAGGAGAGCAGUUAGAGGACUUACCUCACUUGAUUUCGCAGGAAUCCCAGUUCUGCUCUGUCUGUUGUCUCAAUGCCUGAAAGCAGUUGUUUCAUAUAUUUUGCCCGGCCUUAUGGUCACUCAUGGCAGAAAGGUAUAUUUUGAUGCAAAAUGCAACAUCUUCUGUGUCAUUUAAGAAGAAACAUAAGCAUCACUUUUUGAAAGAUUCAUGCUCUAAAGCAGAGAUUGGCAAAGUUUUUCCAUCAGGGGUCUGAUAACAAAUAUCUGAAACUCUGUGGGCCAUGUGGUCUCUGCUGCAGCUACUCCGUUGCAGGUCUGACAGUUAUUAUGAAAUAGUUUUGAUCCUGUCGACCUUGUGGAAGGGUCUCGGGGACCACACAGCUGGUUAUGAUCCUGAACUGGAGUGCCUGUGAGGAGGACUUAGGUGAUGGGAGAAACUCUAUACAGAGAGGAGGCCUAGAAUGACCCCCACUGGAGUGAUUGAGCAGACGCUUGUUAGGAGAGCAGUCUUCACGUGGCACCAGACCGAGGUGCUGUCCAAGGACCCAGAGAGUAGAAAAACACCCGGCAUUUAAGUAAAUUGUAUACUAACUCAGUCUCAACAGUAGAUGAAAGACUUUUUAAGAGACAGGGCCAAAAUUGUCACUUAAAUGAAGGACUUAAAGUCAGCCUGAUAUGGGCUUUAGUCCCAGUUACAGCCUUAGUUCUAUAACUUGCUCAAAGAUAGGUAAUUUUCUUUGAAUUUUGAACUUAUACUUUUUUAUCUGUGAAAUAUUUAAUUCUUGCUGAAUACGUGAGGAACAUUUGGAAGAAAAGAAUAAAAAGAUGCAUAUUUAAAUUGCCCAAGGGUUCAGUAGAUGAGAAAAUUUUGAUGGAGAGCUUUUGGAUUUUACUGCUCCAUGCUGCUUUCUGUCUGUGCCUUGCUGAAAGAAGCAGAGCAGAAAGACUGCAGUUAUUAAGGUCAGGCAGGUAACUGAAUGUCUGUUGAGCUAUGCCAAGGUACUGUGGUGAUGGUGAUGGCCAUACUGCUCUAAAGAUGAGAGCUGGAUUUGGGACAUGCAUCAAAUGUGUGCAGGUGCUAUGCUGUUUCUACAGGUGCUGUCUCACUUGGUCUGACCUGUAAUCCUGCAAAGUAAGGACUGUUGUUAUCCCCACUGUGAGCCACUGAGGCUUCGUGAAGCUGAGUACCUUCUUAAGGUCACGCAGUGACUCGGCAGUGGAAGUUGAGAUUUGAGCAUAAGCAAUUUGACUGUAGAGUUUCUGCCCUUAACCGUUACACUUUAUUGAAAAUUGACUUUGUCCUUCAAUUGGCAUUUGCAGCAGUUGGAUAAUAUUGAAGUAACAUUUAGUGAUAUUUAGCCCAGAAAGUUUUGGUUAUUUUGUUGAGGUUGACAGUAUCUGAUUUUCCUUUCUUCUCCCUCUCCCUUUUCCUCUUCUUUUCCUUCUCCCUUUGAAAUUCCAAAGUGAGGUUGCAGACUUUUUCUGAAACAGCUCAUCAGCUUUUGUCCUUUUCUGCAAGUGGAGUUUUCAACGACUUCCCUUGGACAUUUGUGCUUUUCCUGGGCCUUAGCGUCUUCUGUUUACAAAGGCAGAGUUGAGUAUGGUUGUGGAAGGAAGUAGCUGGGAUCCUUUGGGGUCAUUGUGCUGACCUUGGACUGUCUAUUUCUGGACUCAUAAUGGCAGGAAAAUCAGUUCCUUUUUGGUUAAACGAUGAUGGACAGGUUUCCUCCCCUUGCAGCCAGAGCACCCUGACUGAUAGAAGUGAUACUGUGAAUUGACUGAAUGAUAGUCAGUUUUCUUUCUUGUAUCCAGAAUUUGUAUUCCAGCUAAGAAUCAUCACCUUUUUAAACCUGAUUCCUUUUCUUUUUCACACCUUACUCCAUCCAGGCAAGAAACAGAGUUUUCACUUUGUGACGGUUACUUUAGAGUUAGUGAUGAAUAAAGAACAGUGGUCAAAGUUAAAAAAUUGCAUGGUCUUGGAAGUUUGUACUCUUCAUGAAUAACUGAAGUUUUGCAAACAUUAAGCAUUUAGCUGAGUGCGUACUUCUCAAUUUGAAUGCUUUUGGGGGUAGUAUUCUAGUUUUCCUCCUGAAAGAAGGCAUUCCUAAAUCUAAAAAUUAGAUGAAUAGAAAGAAAAAGAAGAUUAUGACUACCCAUAACCCUCUCACUCAUCAUCUAAUUUUGUGAAAAAGGAGUAAUUAUUUUACUUAAAUCCUCUAUGUUAAAUUUAUUUUCAGAAUUACUUAAUGGCUUGAGAGGCCAGCACAUACUGACGUCACAUUCUCAGGACUUAUUUUCUUAGGAAGAUCUGGAUUUUCAUUAUAUUGUAAUAAAUUUCUCUGUCUAAAGAACUGCUUCUUACAGCCAGGCCUCUAGUUAUGGGGAAGGUUUCUUUUGGGCCUUGCUCUUAUACUUUAAUCCAUAAUUAUGUUAUUGAGUAGAAGCAGUAAUUAGAAGAAAGUAAUGAUAGUGGGGUGGUGGCCAAAAGACAAUAAAAAUAAUAGUAACCAGAAGAAGCCAAUGUUUGUAUGUCUUAUAUCACUUUUGUAACUGGAGCCAAUUAUAAAAGCAAGAGAUUAUUAUAACUUAAAUAAAUGAAGACUACUGAAAAUUACGGUAUCUGCAGUGUUAAAAGUAUAAAGGUGUGGCCUACAGAAUAUUAAAAAUCCAGGUCUCUAGAAGAGCUCAGUUAUUUUGCCUGUGUCUUCAUAUUUCCCAGGUGUAGGGAAAACUGCACUGUUUCUACUCUGCUACUCACAGUGCUUCUGACACUUCUAGCUAUCAAAUGUCUGGGUCUUUUCCCCACUCUAGCAGUUUUCCAAAUCUCUGCAGCCACCAGCUGGGUGUCCUACAGUUCAGUUCGGUUCUGACACUAUACCUGGAGUUAGUGUCAGAUCUCACAAGCUAUGGACUCAGUCCUGUAAGUCUGCCCUUUGGGUUCUAUUGAUAGAAUUAGCUGGAGCAGCUCACAGAACUCAGGAAAGCAGUUUACGUCCUUGAUUGCUGAUUUAUUAUAAAAGGGUACAUCUCAGGAACAGCCAGGUGGAAGAGAUGCCAAGGGCAAGGUGAGUGGGAAAGGGCACAGACCUUCUGUGCCCUCCCCAAGCCUGCCACCCUCCCAGCACCUCUGUGUGUUUACCAACCCAGAAGCUCUCUGAACCCCACCCUUUUGGGUUUUUAUGGAGGCUCCACUACAUACCCAACAAAGGCCUGUAGAGUCAAAUGCUAUGGUUUUUCCAGUAGUCAUGUACAUAUGUGAGAGUUGGACCAUAAAGAAGGCUGAGCACUGAAGAACUGAUGCUUUUGAACUGUGGUGCUGGAGAAGACUCUUGAGAGUCCCUUGGAUUGCAAGGAGAUCCAACCAGUCAAUCCUAAAGGAAAUCAAUCCCGAAUAUUCAUUGGAAGGACUGAUGCUGAAGCUGAAGCACCAAUACUUUGGUCACCAGAUGCAAAGAACCGACUCACUGAAAAAAAAUCCUGGUCCUGGGAAGGAUUGAAGGCGAGAGAAAAAGAGCGCAGCAGAGGAUGAGAUGGUUAGAUAGUAUCACUAACUCAGUGGACAUGAAUUUGAGUAAACUCUGGGGGCAGCAUACUUUGAUCACUGGUAUAGUCACUUCAUCUGUUAUCUGUCUGUCCCGUAUGGAAGCCUUUUCCUCAGCUGGUAAAACUCCAUGUACUGUUAACUUGUGUCCUGGAGAUACAUAUGAGAUACUAUUAAAUGUAUCGUCACCAU